rnacentral:rRNA from 1 species
GACGAACGCUGGCGGCGUGCUUAACACAUGCCAGUCGAACGGAAAGGCCCCUUUGGGGGUCCUCGAGUGGCGAACGGGUGAGUAACACGUGAGUAACCGGCCCUUGACUUCGGGAUAACUUCAGGAAACUGGGGCUAAUACCGGAUAGGAAUCCUUGCUGCAUGGUGGGGGUUGGAAAGUUUCGGCGGUUUUGGAUGGACUCGCGGCUUAUCAGCUUGUUGGUGGGGUAGUGGCUUACCAAGGCUUUGACGGGUAGCCGGCCUGAGAGGGCGACCGGCCACAUUGGGACUGAGAUACGGCCCAGACUCCUACGGGAGGCAGCAGUGGGGAAUAUUGCACAAUGGGCGGAAGCCUGAUGCAGCAACGCCGCGUGCGGGAUGACGGCCUUCGGGUUGUAAACCGCUUUCAGCAGGGGCGAAGCUUGUGGUGACGGUACCUGCAGAAGAAGCACCGGCUAACUACGUG